GAUGAACGCUGGCGGCGUGCCUAACACAUGCAAGUCGUACGAGAAAGGGGCUUCGGCCCUGAGUAGAGUGGCGCACGGGUGAGUAACGCGUGGGUAAUCUACCUUUGGAUUUGGGAUAACUCUGCGAAAGUGGAGCUAAUACCGGAUAGUCUGGCUUUAAUUGAUAAGUCGGUAAAGGAUGCCUCUGCAUAUGCAUUCGUCCAUGGAUGAGCCCGCGUCUCAUUAGCUAGUUGGUAGGGUAAUGGCCUACCAAGGCAACGAUGAGUAGCUGGUCUGAGAGGAUGAUCAGCCACACUGGAACUGAAACACGGUCCAGACUCCUACGGGAGGCAGCAGUGGGGAAUAUUGCGCAAUGGGCGAAAGCCUGACGCAGCAACGCCGUGUGAGGGAUGAAGGCUUUCGGGUCGUAAACCUCUGUCGGAAGGGAAGAACGGGUGAGGGUCUAAUAGGCCUUCAUUUUGACGGUACCUUUAGAGGAAGCACCGGCUAACUCCGUGCCAGCAGCCGCGGUAAUAC
rnacentral:rRNA from 1 species